CGGGGUGUGGCGCAGUUGGCUAGCGCGCCACGUUCGGGACGUGGAGGCCGUGUGUUCGAGUCACAUCACCCCGA
rnacentral:tRNA from 1 species